AUUGAACGCUGGCGGCAUGCUUUACACAUGCAAGUCGAACGGCAGCACGGGUGCUUGCACCUGGUGGCGAGUGGCGGACGGGUGAGUAAUGCAUCGGAACGUGUCCUAAAGUGGGGGAUAACGCAUCGAAAGAUGUGCUAAUACCGCAUAUUCUCUGAGGAGGAAAGUAGGGGAUCGAAAGACCUUAUGCUUUUUGGAGCGGCCGAUGUCUGAUUAGCUAGUUGGUAGGGUAAUGGCUUACCAAGGCGACGAUCAGUAGUUGGUCUGAGAGGACGACCAGCCACACUGGGACUGAGACACGGCCCAGACUCCUACGGGAGGCAGCAGUGGGGAAUUUUGGACAAUGGGCGCAAGCCUGAUCCAGCAAUGCCGCGUGAGUGAAGAAGGCCUU
rnacentral:rRNA from 1 species